rnacentral:rRNA from 1 species
UACGGGGGGGGUAAGCGUUGUUCGGAAUUACUGGGCGUAAAGGGCUCGUAGGCGGCCAACUAAGUCAUACGUGAAAUCCCUCAGCUUAACUGGGGAACUGCGUGUGAUACUGGAUGGCUUGGAUUUGGGAGAGGGAUGCGGAAUUCCAGGUGUAGCGAUGAAAUGCGUAGAUAUCUGGAGGAACACCGGUGGCGAAGGCGGCAUCCUGGACCAAUAUUGACGCUGAGGAGCGAAAGCCAGGGGAGCAAACGGG